rfam:Culex pipiens quinquefasciatus supercont3.323 genomic scaffold, whole genome shotgun sequence.
GGCUCCGUGGCUUAAUGGUUACGGCUUCUGCCUCACAAGCAGAAGGUUUAGGGAUCAAAUCCCGGUCGGUACCU